CUCGGCCUGGGCGAGGGCAGCCCGCAUCAUCCGGGUUGAUGCGCUGAUGCAGGUGCUCGGGCCAGCUCGCUGAGC
rnacentral:tRNA from 1 species